AGUGAACGCUGGCGGUAGGCCUAACACAUGCAAGUCGAACGGCAGCACAGUAAGAGCUUGCUCUUACGGGUGGCGAGUGGCGGACGGGUGAGGAAUACAUCGGAAUCUACUUUUUCGUGGGGGAUAACGUAGGGAAACUUACGCUAAUACCGCAUACGACCUACGGGUGAAAGCAGGGGAUCUUCGGACCUUGCGCGAUUGAUUGAGCCGAUGUCGGAUUAGCUAGUUGGCGGGGUAAAGGCCCACCAAGGCGACGAUCCGUAGCUGAUCUGAGAGGAUGAUCAGCCACACUGGAACUGAGACACGGUCCAGACUCCUACGGGAGGCAGCAGUGGGGAAUAUUGGACAAUGGGCGAAAGCCUGAUCCAGCCAUACCGCGUGGGCGAAGAAGGCCUUCGGGUUGUAAAGCCCUUUUGUUGGGAAAGAAAAGCAGCAGAUUAAUACCCGGCUGUUCUGACGGUACCCAAAGAAUAAGCACCGGCUAACUUCGUG
rnacentral:rRNA from 1 species